rnacentral:rRNA from 1 species
UACGUAGGGUGCAAGCGUUGUCCGGAAUUACUGGGCGUAAAGCGUGCGUAGGCGGUUUGUUAAGUCCGUUGUGAAAGCCCUGGGCUCAACCUGGGAAUUGCAGUGGAUACUGGCAAGCUAGAGUACGGUAGAGGAUGGUGGAAUUCCCGGUGUAGCGGUGAAAUGCGUAGAGAUCCACUGGAACGCCGAUGGUGAAGACGAUCAACUGGGCCUGACCUGACGCUGAAGCACGGAAAGCGUGGGGAGCAAACAGG